AUUGAACGCUGGCGGCAUGCCUUACACAUGCAAGUCGAACGGCAGCACGGGUGCUUGCACCUGGUGGCGAGUGGCGACCGGGUGAGUAAUAUAUCGGAACGUACCUUAUUGUGGGGGAUAACGCAGCGAAAGCUGUGCUAAUACCGCAUAAUCCCUAAGGGGGAAAGCGGGGGACCGUAAGGCCUCGCGCAAUUAGAGCGGCCGAUACCUGAUUAGCUAGUUGGUGAGGUAAAGGCUCACCAAGGCAACGAUCAGUAGCUGGUCUGAGAGGACGAGCAGCCACACUGGGACUGAGACACGGCCCAGACUCCUACGGGAGGCAGCAGUGGGGAAUUUUGGACAAUGGGGGCAACCCUGAUCCAGCUAUGCCGCGUGAGUGAGGAAGGCCUUCGGGUUGUAAAGCUCUUUUGUCAGGGAAGAAACAGCAGCUCUAACACAGUUUGCGAAUGACGGUACCUGAAGAAUAAGCACCGGCUAACUACGUGCCAGCCGCCGCCGUAA
rnacentral:rRNA from 1 species